CGGAUACUACCUUGAAAUUAAAUGGGUUUCCUUCAGCGUUGAAGGAAGCUUGCCGUCAUGCUCGAACGAUUCAGUGGAAGUGUAUCUUACAAGCUCUUAUAACUCUAUCGGAAAGUUUUGCUCAUCUAACAUGCGGUCAAGCAAGCCAUUCACUAUGUUUUCAAAUGACGGAUAUGCAAAGAUCCGAUUCAAGUCUGACAGCUCGAACACACGAACUGGAUUUUCAUUGACGUACCAGCUGAAAA